UAACGAGAGCCACGGACUAAGAUAUAUCUUAGUCCGUGCUUACAACUGUUCAGUGUUUACUGAUAUCACGUCGAAAUGGAUGCAAUUUAUGCUUAUACAUUUUAUUUAUUUAUUAUAAAGUUCGUGCUGUAAUAAAUAAUAUAACCAAUAUAAUUAUGACAAAAUACAAUAUUACAUGGGAAUGUAAUAUGUUUAUAACUAACUAAAACAGUACGAAAAUAUUAUACUAUACAUAGUGCAAAAAAUGCUAAAUUGUUGUACGAUACUAGGAAAAAAUCAAAAAAAAAAUCAGUAUAAUCUAUAAAAUAUGGUUAGAUUCAUACAACAUCCAGUCAAGUGCCACUAGUGGGUGGCUUCUUGUAAAAAAAGAAAAAAAUUGUAUUACGAAUUUUCGGCUAAACUUCGUGGAAAGUUUUAUUUAUAUUUAAAACUAUUGAAGAUACCAAAUUCGGACAGUCGACAUGAUUCUGUCGUUGAAGAACAGCUCAAUAUUUAGCAGUAAAUUUUCUUUUAGUAAAACUAUACUCAGUUUCAGGAUAGAAGGUACACAUUCUUUCAUCGGUCUGAAGGAAAUUUAAAUGAUUGACCCUGACAGUUGUGUAUCUCUAAUGGAAAAGAUAAAUUUGUUUAAUCGUGAAGAAAGUGAGAGAUCUCCGAGUGGUGAAACAGACACAGAUUAUGAACAGGGCUUAUCUUAUGCUGUUGUAUGUGCGGUUUUUGAUACUUAUGGAUCAAUAAUGUGGAAUUCCAAAGAAACAAAUAAAGACAUUCUCCUUUAUAUAGCAAUUCAUUUAUCACAAUAUCAAAAUUUGGAAACAUGGAGUUGUAUAAACAACAAAAUUCACUUUAUUUUUCUAAUGGUAACAACUAUAUCUUUUAAUAGAUUCUGAUUUCCAGUAGAGCUAUUUUUGUGAAAAUGUUGAUGAUACAAUUAUCAAUUUCGGUUUUCUAGUUUAUAGUUAUGGUCCAUAUAAGUUAAGUAUAUUCAUUGGUACUUUUAAUUAAAACAAUUUGCAUAAAUUUAAUUUACUAGAGCUAAAUAAUUUUUUUUUAUGAUUUUUGGCUAAUAUAGGGUGGCUAUUACCAGGGUUAGUUUAAAAAAAAGCUCAAAUUUUUUUUUUGAAAAUUUUAAAAUAGCCAUUUUUAUAAAGUUAUUUGUUUAUAUUUUAGGGAAAAAAACAAUUUCAAUGUAUGAAAGCAACUUAUAUAUUUUCAAAAAUACAGCAUACUAUUUUAAAAUUAUAUGGUUUUUACCCAUUGAUAACUAAUGCUAAUCCAAUAAGUAAUUAAGAACAUACCACACAUCUUGUUAAAAUUGAUGUACCCAAAUCAAUACAAGAUAGUAAAUAUAUACAAAAUAUAACACUUAAUACAUACCAAAUAAUUAAACUAAUAGGGUGGAUGGAUACUUUUAUUUGAUAUAUUCAUCAUUCUAUAUAAUGGUUGAUUUUUUGAAUAUCGGUAAAGAGAACCAGUACAUGUGGUGAGCAUUAAAAAUUGGAACUUUAUAGCUUAAUGUGAAUUUGUGUUAAUAGAUCAGGACAGUGCCUGGUUUAGGGGGGUACCUGGGUGACUUGUCACCUGGCCCCAAUUUGAAGCGGCCCUCAUAUUUUUUGCUAGUUUGUAAUUUAUUUUAAUAUUGAAAAAAACAGUUGUUUUGACUGUAGUGUGGAACUCAAUUGUACAAAAAAUUAAUAGUGUUAACAAUGACUUAUAAUCAUUUAAGAUUAAUGUCUCAGCAGUUCCUCUUUACACUUCAUUGAUUGAUUUUAUUCAAAGCGCCCGGGAAGAUUUUACAAUAUAUGAAGAGGAAGCAUGCAGUUUAAACAUAAUUUCAGAUUAUUCACUAAAAAGAAAAGUAAAAGUACCUAAGAGCAAACAUUUGGAUGACACAAACAUACAAUGUAUCAACUUAACAUCCAAAGAAAAUUGUAUUAUUAAUACAUAUUAUGUUAUUUGUGAUAAAUUAAUUUUUGAACUUAAAAAAAGAAAUAUUGCUUACUUAGAAAUAGAAAAAAGUUUAGAUUUUUAUUCAAAAGCAAUAUGAAAAUGUCUGAAAUACCUGAUGUAAAUGCUGAUGAUAUUGAUGAUGAUCAUUCAACUCAAAAAAAUUUCAAAACUCGCAUUCAAGGACCAUGAAUUUUUGGUAAGUGUUGUAAAAAUGUUGAUGGGGUUCUAGAACGAAGAUUUUUAUAUUGGAAAAAAGAGAUAAGGCAACUUUGUUACCAAUAAUACAAAAUGUGAAAAGACUAGGAUCAAUUACUUAUUCUGAUUAAUGGCACCCAUAUAUUACCCUAAAAGAUAAAGAUUGUCAUCAUGGAACCGUCAAUAAUUCCAAGUUUUUUGUUGAAUGAGUGCACCAACACCAACAAUCGAGUGUAUAUGCCAUUUAGAGACAUAUCAAAACUAAAUACAGAAUUAAAACUGGAGAAGCAACAGAUUUACUUAAAAUAUAGAAUAUAAUAUGUAAUAACUCAGUUAUAAUAAUACUUUAUAAUUAAAAUAGAACCACAUAGUCAAGGCCAUGAGAAUUCAUAGUGAAUAUUGAAGAAGGCCUGGUUUGGUAUAAUAUGUGAAAAGAAAAAAAUUAUAAUAAUAUAGAUUAUCUGGUGUUGAUGCGUUUGAUUAUAAUACAAUACUAUUUCAAUUAAAACCCAAUUAGAUAAGUAGCAUAACAAAGCAAAUUUAUUUACAUGAAUCAGUCAAGUUCCAACCCGUGUCGGAAUGUAGCACUUGGCCGACCUCAACUCUUCGAAUAUCAUUUGCAUUUUUUCUCCUUCCGUCAACUGCAGUAUAGCGGGGUUUAAAAACAUGCCAAAGACUGAAAAUUGUAAUGUUGAUGAGCGAGAUGUGACAUGGUGGUUUUUUCUGGUGCCUUUUUUAAUCUGUCUUGUUGCUGUUCAUCUAACGAGAGUUUGUCAGAAAGCCUCUAGUCCCUAGUCCCCGAUAUGCAUUUACAUAUCCCCGUGUAUAUGGGAUCUCCAUGGUCAUAGACCUAACGUGUGACUGCAUGUGCUGCAUACGCCGGAUGUCCCUUCAUAUAUAUAUAUUUCUGUGGUGUUAUUGACUUAUACUAAUUCACACAAUUCCUGUGUGACCUACUUUAAUCAUUAUUCACUUGAUUUGUGAUAUAGGUAUAUCUAUUAUAUCGCGCCGUCUAUUAUUAUUAUUUGUACGCACU